rnacentral:tRNA from 1 species
GGGACGGUAGCUCAGCUGGUAGAGCAGGUGCCUCUUAAGCACUCGGUCGUGGGUUCGAGUCCCACCCGUCCCACCA